rnacentral:rRNA from 2 species
GUGGUCCCACCUGACCCCAUGCCGAACUCAGAAGUGAAACGCCGUAGCGCCGAUGGUAGUGUGGGGUCUCCCCAUGCGAGAGUAGGGAACUGCCAGGCA